rfam:Picea glauca, whole genome shotgun sequence.
GGGAGAGAUCAUACUAGUGUUAAUGCACCAGAUCCCAUCAGAAAUCUGUAGUUAAGCAUGCUUGGACUAGAGUAGUACUGGGAUGGGUGACCUCUUGAGAAGUCCUAGUGUUGCACCCU